AUUGAACGCUGGCGGCAUGCCUUACACAUGCAAGUCGAACGGCAGCAUGGGUGCUUGCACCUGAUGGCGAGUGGCGAACGGGUGAGUAAUGCAUCGGAACGUACCCGGAAGUGGGGGAUAACGUAGCGAAAGUUACGCUAAUACCGCAUAUUCUGUGAGCAGGAAAGCGGGGGAUCGCAAGACCUCGCGCUUCCGGAGCGGCCGAUGUCGGAUUAGCUAGUUGGCGGGGUAAAGGCCCACCAAGGCAACGAUCCGUAGCGGGUCUGAGAGGAUGAUCCGCCACACUGGGACUGAGACACGGCCCAGACUCCUACGGGAGGCAGCAGUGGGGAAUUUUGGACAAUGGGCGCAAGCCUGAUCCAGCCAUGCCGCGUGAGUGAAGAAGGCCCUCGGGUUGUAAAGCUCUUUUGUCCGGAAAGAAAGCAAUCGGUUAAUACCCGGUUGUUCUGACGGUACCGGAAGAAUAAGCACCGGCUAACUUCGUGCCAGCAGCCG
rnacentral:rRNA from 1 species